AUUGAACGCUGGCGGCAGGCCUAACGCAUGCAAGUCGAACGGUAGCACAGAGAGCUUGCUCUCGGGUGACGAGUGGCGGACGGGUGAGUAACGUCUGGGAAACUGCCCGAUGGAGGGGGAUAACUACUGGAAACGGUAGCUAAUACCGCAUAACGUCGCAAGACCAAAGUGGGGGACCUUCGGGCCUCACACCAUCGGAUGUGCCCAGAUGGGAUUAGCUAGUAGGGGGGGUAAUGGCUCACCUAGGCGACGAUCCCUAGCUGGUCUGAGAGGAUGACCAGCCACACUGGAACUGAGACACGGUCCAGACUCCUACGGGAGGCAGCAGUGGGGAAUAUUGCACAAUGGGCGCAAGCCUGAUGCAGCCAUGCCGCGUGUAUGAAGAAGGCCUUCGGGUCGUAAAGUACUUUCAGCGGGGAGGAAGGCGGUGAAGUUAAUAGCUUCACCGAUUGACGUUACCCGCAGAAGAAGCACCGGCUAACUCCGUGCCAGCAGCCGCAGUAA
rnacentral:rRNA from 1 species